rnacentral:lncRNA from 1 species
AAAGUCAAGAGAAUUGGAAGUUAGCAAGUUGGUUGAUGGUGGUUGGCCAGAUGGAUUCAUCUGAUCAAAACUAGGUCUCCCUAGACCCUAUCUCCUACAAUUUUCACCAUAUGAAAAUUAUUCCAAGACCAAACUUACUCUAAAUGACAUUCCAAACAACUUUCAUGUUGAGACCUAGAGCUAGUUUUUCUUGGAAAAUCAUUUUCUAUGUUGAAACAUUAAAGGUCAUUUUGUCUAAACCCUAAUUUG